AAUAUUUGUCAAUGGGCGGGAGCCUGAACCAGCCAUGCCGCGUGCGGGACGAAGGCCCUAUGGGUCGUAAACCACUUUUACACGGGAACAACCGCAGCGACGAGUAGCUGCCUGCGGGUACCGUGGGAAUAAGGAUCGGCUAACUCAGUACCAACAGCCGCGGUAAUACGGAGGAUCCGAGCGUUAUCCGGAAUUAUUGGGUUUAAAGGGGGCGUAGGCGGCACUUUAAGUCAGGAGUGAAAUACAGCGACUCAACCAUUGCAGUGCACUUGAUACUGAAGUGCUUGAAUGUGGCCGAAGGAGGUGGAACGGGACAAGUAGCGGUGAAAUGCAUAGAUAUGUCCCAGAACCCCGAUUGCGAAGGCAGCUUCCUAGACCGUUAUUGACGCUGAUGCACGAAAGCGUGGGGAUCGAACA
rnacentral:rRNA from 1 species